AUUUUAGUAUAAAUAUGUUCAAUGCAAUAUCUGGGACAUACUUAUACUAAAA
rnacentral:pre_miRNA from 1 species